rnacentral:rRNA from 1 species
GACGAACGCUGGCGGCGUGCUUAACACAUGCAAGUCGAACGCUGAAGGCCCAGCUUGCUGGGUUGGAUGAGUGGCGAACGGGUGAGUAACACGUGAGUAACCUGCCCCCUUCUUUGGGAUAACGGUCGGAAACGGCUGCUAAUACCGGGUAUUCACUGUCCUUCGCAUGGGGGGUGGUGGAAAGGUUUUUUCUGGUGGGGGAUGGGCUCGCGGCCUAUCAGCUUGUUGGUGGGGUGAUGGCUUACCAAGGCUUUGACGGGUAACCGGCCUGAGAGGGUGACCGGUCACAUUGGGACUGAGAUACGGCCCAGACUCCUACGGGAGGCAGCAGUGGGGAAUAUUGCACAAUGGGCGAAAGCUUGAUGCAGCGACGCCGCGUGAGGGAUGGAGGCCUUCGGGUUGUAAACCUCUUUCGCUCAUGGUCAAGCCGCAACAGUGGUUGUGGUGAGGGUAGUGGGUAAAGAAGCACCGGCUAACUACGUGCCAGCAGCCGCGGUAAUACGUAGGGUGCGAGCGUUGUCCGGAAUUAUUGGGCGUAAAGGGCUUGUAGGCGGUUUGUCGCGUCUGCCGUGAAAUCCUCUGGCUUAACUGGGGGCGUGCGGUGGGUACGGGCAGGCUUGAGUGCGGUAGGGGAGACUGGAACUCCUGGUGUAGCGGUGGAAUGCGCAGAUAUCAGGAAGAACACCGGUGGCGAAGGCGGGUCUCUGGGCCGUUACUGACGCUGAGGAGCGAAAGCGUGGGGAGCGAACAGG